CGGCGGCGGCGGCAGCCGUGACAGGAAGUUCCCCCACGGAGACGCGCGCGCCCGAACACGUGACUCCACGCCCGGCAACACGCAAUGCGCAUGCGCCAGGCGAAGCGGGUGUGGCGCCCAACAGGGCGUACAGCACAUCACCCUGGCUGACGUUGAGCCGCACGCGAAGGAGCAGGUCGUUCCUGCUGGGCUCCACAAGGAGGAGGCGGCAGGAGCCCAGGGAAAGCAGAUACUUCUUGACCAGGAUAUUUAAUGCCUCGGAAGGCAUCAAAGGCUGUCCCAGUGGGGGCACAAAUGAAGGGCAGAAUGCAGUACUAUCUUCAGAAUCAGAGGAUAGCAGGUCUGAAUCCUGGUUCUAGCAAAUACCUAAAUAUGACACCCUGGGCAGAAUUCAAAUUUAAGACGCUCAAAACGAAAGUCACUUCUCCAGUAACUCAAGAGAGAAGCAUGAGCAUCAGCUUAUAUUCUUCCCUUCCUCUGACCUCCCACAUCCAGCAGAGCACCAGCACAGGACCUCACACCAACAGGUGCUCAGCAAAGAAUUGCCGAGUUUUGUAGGUACAGCUAGGCCUCCCGACGGUGACUUACCUUCCUGGCAACCAGCUGGAUGGCAUCAUCCUCAAAGGCCUUUAAGUGUUUGAGUCGGGACAUUAGGAUCUGCUGCAGCUGCCUGGUCCUGUGUAUUCAUUUUUGCAGGACUCCUUAGCACAGCUUCUGCAUCUGUAAGAACAACUUGAGAACGGCCCCAACACCUACCAGUCGGCUCGACACCCGGUUCAUCAUGAGGCGCUCUGGCAGGUCCAUGGUGUUGGCGAUGGCCAGGACCACAAGCUGGGCCUCCCUGUGAGUGGGCCAGUCAAAGAGAUUGUACAUGACAUCUUGUUUCUGAGUCCACAGAAGGUCAAGCUGCCGGGGAAAUGGAGAGAGAUGCAGGGUCAACUACAGAGACCGCGCCAGGGCCCAGAGUGAGACCUGUCACCACUGUUUUAGCUGCAUGCGCUUCUCAGGGCACAUCGGCAGAGCAGCAAGGAAGUCAGUGGGCACGUGCCACUUGCCACCAGACAACAGGCUUAGAUGAAGGAAGGAGCCAAGCCUUCCGUCCUGCCCAGUACUUGCUCCCAAAACAUCUCGGUCAACAACCAUGUGGCUUCUUUCCCAGUCCUGCUGUGGGCACCUCCUUACCUCAUCCACAAGCAGCACGGUGGUUUCCUGAGAGGACCCUUGGGUGCGAAAUCGCUUUGCCAGCAGUUCGGCUGCAUGGUUAGCUGUUGCCUUUUGGCCUGUCAUCUUCUGCAUUGGGGGAAAACAGGGAUGGUGAACUCUAAGGGCUUAAAGUUAAAUCUGCAAACAGAGGAAGCUAUUUAGUCUGAGGAUUUCAGGAUCCUAUACUCUGCCUUCUACCCUAAACUUGGAAGGCACCAAGACAGAAGAUAGAGAAAGUCUGUGUGAUUGAAAUGCAAAUGAACCACAGACUAGUCCCAGAAGCCCCUUCAAAAUCAUUACUUCCUAACUUUAUAACUGGACAUUAUCUGUUACAAGAGAACAGCUAAUGAACCAAGAGUGAGGUGCAAACUUGCACCUACCUCCAACCCUUUUCUAGUCUGCCACACUGCCUCCUGUGUGCAAAUGGUUUUCACCAUGACAGUAAGUACUAGCUUCCAACAUUUCAUAACAAGCUCCUAGACGUUAAGGUCCCUGUGGGUAGGAAUUCUGCCUUUGCUCUUGCUAUCUCUACUCAAAGAGCAAUGCCUGGCAUGUUGAAAAUAUGUAAUAUGCACAAAAUGAAGUAAACCUUUUUCUUUUCAUGUACCACCAAGACUGUAUUUUCCAAAAAGCCCAACCUGCUUUGCUUACCUGCAAGAUCUGCACGUAGACUUGGUGGGGCUCUGUCAGUUUCAUGCCAUUGACUUCAAUGUAUUGAAAGGGAGGAACAUCAUUUGCUUGGGCCGCCUGCUGCAGACAGUGUAUUACCUCGUGUACAGUGGCAGUCUUCCCGGUCCCAGGUACCCCAGAGAUAUACAUGCACCUAGGCAGGAAGGGAAGGCGUGAGGGUUAGGUCUGUGCCAGCUGCCUCACCAGUUAGGAGUGAGCAAAUGUCUGCUGAAGGAAGGACCAAGAGCCCUGAAAUGUGGAGGUGGGGGCAGUUGGGACCAUCCUUGGAAGCUGAUUAGAGCAGGGCCUUUUCCAUAGAAUCAUUCAUUCCACAAGCAAUGGCAGUGUCAUUUUUCUUUGAAAAACAGAAUUCCUAUUCCUACAGAAUAACUUUGACAACAAAAAGCUGCUUUAGAAGCUUUAGGCUUUUCCCUGUUCUCCUGACACGGGCAAAGACCAUCUGGCCGAUCUCUGACACCUGAGGGGUAUACCAGCAGGAGCCUUCUCCCCCGACCAUCCGACCUGGCUCAGCAUGACUCACCCUCCAGUAUGGUCAAGGAGUUUGCUUUCCACAAAGUUGUAGAUAUCUUGGAAUUCCUUUUCCCGACAGGGAAGAGAGUCAGGUACAGCAGAAACAUGCAGACUAAAUAAGGGAAAAGGAGGAUUUUAGAAGCAUUUCACCAUCUACUCAAUAAUAAAUUGAAAGACUUAUCUAGUUUCUACAUAAAACCUUAAUCACAAACCCAAGGGAAUGUCUUCAUUCUCAAAUCUCUUCAUGUAGUUGCAUAAUCCCUUUCUCCCCCCAAAUCACCAACUCAGUGGUGCUAACCAAAGGUACACGUCACCUGGGAAGCUUUCCCCAAAUCACAUGGCUGAACCUCAUCCCACAAGAGAUUCUGAUUCGGUUGAUUUCUGGAAGGAUGCAGGCUUGUAUAUUUUUUAAAAGUCCCAACACAGUUCUAAAGGGUGUGACACUUGAGAAGGAGCGUCCUGACUAGUCACCUCCAUCCCUGAGAAAAGGAUGGCAGUAGACUGGACGGUGACUCCUAGAACCAGUCUGCAUUAGCUGACCCAGACACCACUGGAGAGGUUUCUUCUCUCUGAACACACAUGUUCAUUUUACUCUGUUAUUACUCCUGUUUCACGUGAAUGAACGCAGAGGCCCAUCUCUUCCUAUCUGAAAGGGGCCCGUGAGCAGUGUUACCUUAGCCGGGCCUCCUCUAGCACGCUGGCAGGUCCCCGGACAGCCAGGUUUCGGCUGCGGAUCUGGGGAGUGGCAGAAUGUGGCAUUCUAGGCUUGGGCUAUAUUCAGAAAGAGAACAUAUUUCAGAAAAAAACAACACACACACACACACACACAAACCAACAACAAAGCAAAACACCAUCCAGGACACAUUAGCAAAUCUGAUUCCUGAUGACUUGCUAAAAAGAAGAGAGGUGGUGUAUUUCUUAGUUCUUUUAUGUAUAAAAUACCAUGAUUCUCCCUCUCUCUCCUCACAUCACACAUACACUUUGUUCAUAGUCCAAACACAAUUUCUUUUUUCCAAUUUACACACAGUAUUAGGAUUUGAAAACAAUGUCAAUCUGGGGAAAGAAUAAAUGAAAGUAUGGAUUAAACACUAUUUAAAAGUAAAAUAUUACUUUAAAAAAAAGAUAAGAAAUUAUAAAGAAAUCCUAACUACCCUGCCCAAACAUAAGGUUGAGUGGGAGGCAUAAACUGGGUUUGAUUCAGAGGAUCUUCCUAGAGAUUGGUUUGAAAACAUGGUUAGACCUUGUUUACCGGCUUAACACCUAACAACUUUGGAGAAAACAGGAAAGGAGUAAGAAAACCUUGCUCAGAAUGUAUCAAAAUGUCACCCCAAUUAAUUUACUAGUAAUUAAUAAAUAAAAAGAAUGUAUCAAGAA